rnacentral:tRNA from 1 species
CGGAGCGUAGCGCAGCCUGGUAGCGCACUUCGUUCGGGACGAAGGGGUCGUAGGUUCAAAUCCUAUCGCUCCGACCA